rnacentral:rRNA from 1 species
GAUGAACGCUGGCGGCGUGCCUAAUACAUGCAAGUCGAGCGAACAGACGAGGUACUUGCUCCUCUUACGUUAGCAGCGAACGGGUGAGUAACGCGUGGGUAACCUACCUAUAAGCCUGGGAUAACUUCGGGAAACCGAAGCUAAUACCGGAUAAUAUAUUUAACCACAUGGUUCAAUAUUGAAAGACGCUUUUGCAUUCCCUAAUGAUGAUCUCACCUCGUAUUUAGCUGGUUGGGAAGGUAAGGGCUUACAAGGCGAACGAUGCGAAGCCGACCGGAGAGGGGGAUCGGCCACACGGGAACGGGGACCAGGCCCAGACUCCUACGGGAGGAAGCAUAAGGGAAUCUUCCGCAAUGGGCGAAAGCUGGCCGGAGCAACGCGGCUUGAGUGAGGAAGGUUUCCGGAUCUUAAAAUCUGGUUAUUAGGGAAGAACAAAUGUGGAAUUAACUAUGCAUGUAGUGACGGUACCUAAUCAGAAAGCCACGGCUAACUACGUG